CUGUGAUCAUGCCACUGCACUCCAGCCUAGGCAAGACCGUAAGACCCAGUCUCAUAAAACAAAACAAAAGCAAUAACCUCUCGAUUGGAUAAUUGUUACUGUUUUGGUUGCAUUUGAGUAAGAGACAUUGCUGACUAUGAAGAGUCCUGUGUUUCCUCUGUUGGACAAAGCUGGACUCUGUGACUACUCAGUUCUCCAUGGAACUAGCCAUAGAAUCUUUGAAUGUCCGUGAAGGAUCUUGGAGGACUAGUACACUCCCCUCAUCUUACAGCGACAGGGUCUCUCUCUGUCACCCAAGCUGGAGUGCAGUAGCACAAUCAUAGCUCACUGCAGCCUCGAACCUCUGGGCUCAAGUGAUCUUCCUGCCUCAACCUCCUGAGUAGCUAGGACUACAGGUGCACACCACCAUGCCUGGCUAGACUCAGGGGAAAUGUGAUUGCACCACUGCACUCCAGCCUGGAGUGCUCCCGGGAAAUGAAGAGACAGGGGCCUCAGGACACUGCAGGGGAAUAAAAAGAUUUGCUGAGAUGGAAGAUGCCCAUACCUGAAAUGACCUAGAUGAGCAGGCAACAGGCCAAGAAGCAGAGAACUCUGGGGUCCAUGGCGGAGCAACCAGAAGCCAAGACGCAAAUGUUGGUAGCAGGGAAUGCAGGAGAGAGACUGUUGGGGCAUGCUCAGGGAAGUGGCCAGGGACCCCUGUCCAUGGGAGGGGAGGGGACCUAAUUUCAAAAGCAAAUCAAAGUGGUGAGUCCUGGCUUCUCAUGACUCCAAACAAAAUUCCUUUCUCUGGAUUCCCCCUGCCAAGGCGAAUGGAGCUAUUUAGAGACCUGCUCAGGAAAAAACAGUCCUGCAGCCAGGAGGAGAGGGUCCCCAAGGGCAGACAGACAGGGCUGGACGGCAGCUGGAGGGGCCAUUGAAGGUCACAGGAAGGUCAUGGGGGUGCUGAAGGACAGGAAGAUGAGAGGACAAAAUAGGUGAGUGGGGCUAGGAAGGUGGUGAGGCUUAAACUGGCCUUAAAGCCGUGGGCCGAAUCUGGCUGGUUGUCUGCUUUCGCAUAGCCUGUGAGCUAAGAAUGGUUUUAACAUUUUUAAAUAGUUGAAAAAAAAUUAAAAUUUGGUAACGUGAAAAUUGUAUGAAAUUCAGGUUUCAAUGUGUGUAAAUAAAGUUUUAUUGGAACACAGCCACACUCAUUCCUGCACGUCCCAUCUAUGGCUGUUUUUGCACUACAACAGCAGAAUGGAAGAGUUGGGGCGGAGACAGUGCGGCCCACCAAGUCUAAAAUAUUCAUUGUCUACAUUGUUACAGAAAGUGUUUGUUGGCACUUGCGCUGAAGUAUGGUAUUUCUAGAAAACAAUCUCACUUAAAUAAUACAGAAAUAAAAUUCACUCUCAGAAAAAUACA